GAUGAACGCUGGCGGCGUGCCUAAUACAUGCAAGUCGACCGAAAAGCCGGGGGCUUUGCUCCCUGACCUUAGGGGGCGCCGGGGGGGUAAACCGGUGGAAACCUUCCUUUAAGGCCGGGGAAACCUUGGGAAACCGGGAGCAAAUCCGGGAAAAUAUAUUGAACCGCAGGGUUCAUUGGUAAAGACCGGUUUUGCGGUACCUAAUGGUGGAUCCGCGCCGCAUUAGCUAGUUGGUAAGGUAACGGCUUACCAAGGCGACGAUGCGUAGCCGACCUGAGAGGGUGAUCGGCCACACUGGAACUGAGACACGGUCCAGACUCCUACGGGAGGCAGCAGUAGGGAAUCUUCCGCAAUGGGCGAAAGCCUGACGGAGCAACGCCGCGUGAGUGAUGAAGGUCUUCGGAUCGUAAAACUCUGUUAUUAGGGAAGAACAAAUGUGUAAGUAACUAUGCACGUCUUGACGGUACCUAAUCAGAAAGCCACGGCUAACUACGUG
rnacentral:rRNA from 1 species